GACGAACGCUGGCGGCGUGCUUAACACAUGCAAGUCGAACGCUGAAGCUUGGUGCUUGCACUGGGUGGAUGAGUGGCGAACGGGUGAGUAAUACGUGAGUAACCUGCCCUUGACUCUGGGAUAAGCCUGGGAAACUGGGUCUAAUACUGGAUACGACAUGUCACCGCAUGGUGGUGUGUGGAAAGGGUUUUACUGGUUUUGGAUGGGCUCACGGCCUAUCAGCUUGUUGGUGGGGUAAUGGCUCACCAAGGCGACGACGGGUAGCCGGCCUGAGAGGGUGACCGGACAAACGGGGACUGAGACACGGCCCAGACCCCUACGGGAGGCAGCAGGGGGGAAUAUUGCAAAAGGGGCGGAAGCCUGAGGAAGCGACGCCGGGGGAGGGAUGACGGCCUUGGGGUGGAAAACCUCUUUAAGAAGGGAAGAAGCGAAAGGGAGGGUACGUGCAGAAGAAGCGCCGGCUAAAUACGG
rnacentral:rRNA from 1 species